UACGUAGGGGGCGAGCGUUGUCCGAAGUUACUGGGCGUAAAGCGCGCGUAGGCGGCCAUUUAAGUUCGGGGUGAAAGGUUCAGCGCUCAACGCGAACAGUGCCCUGGAUACUGGGUGGCUUGAGUCCGGGAGGGGGCAGUGGAAUUCCGGGUGUAGCGGUGAAAUGCGUAGAUAUCCGGAGGAACACCGAUGGCGAAGGCAGCUGCCUGGCCUAGGACUGACGCUGAGGUGCGAAAGCGUGGGGAGCGAACGGG
rnacentral:rRNA from 1 species